rnacentral:rRNA from 1 species
GAUGAACGCUAGCUACAGGCUUAACACAUGCAAGUCGAGGGGUAACGAGAGGGAAGCUUGCUUUCCUUGUCGACGACCGGCGCACGGGUGAGUAACGCGUAUCCAACCUGCCCCCAACUAGGGAAUAACCUUGCGAAAGUAAGACUAAUACCCUAUAAUUUCCUCAGAUGUCAUCUGACGAGGAAUAAAGAUUUAUCGGUUGUGGAUGGGGAUGCGUCUGAUUAGCUUGUUGGCGGGGUAACGGCCCACCAAGGCAACGAUCAGUAGGGGUUCUGAGAGGAAGGUCCCCCACAUUGGAACUGAGACACGGUCCAAACUCCUACGGGAGGCAGCAGGGAGGAAUAUUGGUCAACGGGCGGAAGCCUGAACCAGCCAAGUAGCGUGCAGGAUGACGGCCCUAUGGGUUGUAAACUGCUUUUAUACAGGAAUAAAGUUAGCCACGUGUGGUUAUUUGUAGGUACUGUAUGAAUAAGGACCGGCUAAUUCCGUGCCAGCCGCCGCAGUAA